rnacentral:rRNA from 1 species
ACGCUCGACACCUACGGGAGGCAGCAGUGGGGAAUAUUGCACAAUGGGGGAAACCCUGAUGCAGCGACGCCGCGUGAAGGAUGAAGUAUUUCGGUAUGUAAACUUCUAUCAGCAGGGAAGAAAGUGACGGUACCUGACUAAGAAGCCCCGGCUAACUACGUGUCAGCAGCCGCGUAAUCUGAGCGGGCUGGCGAAGGC